rnacentral:pre_miRNA from 1 species
GCCUGCCGAUGGACGUCUUACCAGGCACGGUUAGAUCUGGGUUCUGUUGUCUAAUACUGUCUGGUAAUGCCGUCCAUCCAUGGC